UACAGAGGUCUCAAGCGUUGUUCGGAUUCAUUGGGCGUAAAGGGUGCGUAGGUGGCGCCGUAAGUCGGGUGUGAAAUUUCGGAGCUUAACUCCGAAACUGCAUUCGAUACUGCGGUGCUUGAGGACUGGAGAGGAGACUGGAAUUCAUGGUGUAGCAGUGAAAUGCGUAGAGAUCAAUGAGGAAGACCAGUGGCGAAGGCGGGUCUCUGGACAGUUCCUGACACUGAGGCACGAAGGCCAGGGGAGCAAACGGG
rnacentral:rRNA from 1 species